rnacentral:snRNA from 1 species
AGCUUUGCGCAGUGGCAGUAUCGUAGCCAAUGAGGUUUACCCAAGGCGCGAUUAUUGCUAAUUGAAAAUUUUCCCAAUACCCCGCCAUGACGACUUGCAAUAUAGUUGGCAUUGGCAAUUUUUGACAGUCUCUACGGAGA